GCUAAACGCGAAGAACCUUACCUGGCCUUGACAUCCAUGGAAUCCCGAAGAGAUUCGGGAGUGCCGCAAGGAACCAUGAGACAGGUGCUGCAUGGCUGUCGUCAGCUCGUGUCGUGAGAUGUUGGGUUAAGUCCCGCAACGAGCGCAACCCUUGUCCUUAGUUGCCAUCAUUAAGUUGGGAACUCUAAGGAGACCGCCGGUGACAAACCGGAGGAAGGUGGGGAUGACGUCAAGUCAUCAUGGCCUUUAUGGCCAGGGCUACACACGUGCUACAAUGGCAGGUACAGAGGGAAGCCAACCGGCGACGGGGAGCUAAUCCCAGAAAGCCUGUCUUAGUCCGGAUUGCAGUCUGCAACUCGACUGCAUGAAGUUGGAAUCGCUAGUAAUCGCAGAUCAGCAUUGCUGCGGUGAAUACGUUCCCGGGUCUUGUACACACCG
rnacentral:rRNA from 1 species